UACGGAAGGCAGCAGUGGGGAAUAUUGCACAAUGGGCGCAAGCCUGAUGCAGCCAUGCCGCGUGUAUGAAAAAGGCCUUCGGGUUGUAAAGUACUUUCAGUCGUGAGGAAGGUGUUAAGGUUAAUAACCUUAGCAAUUGACGUUAGCGACAGAAGAAGCACCGGCUAACUCCGUGCCAGCAGCCGCGGUAAUACGGAGGGUGCGAGCGUUAAUCGGAAUUACUGGGCGUAAAGGGCACGCAGGCGGUUAAUUAAGUUGGAUGUGAAAUCCCCGGGCUUACCUGGGAAUGGCAUUCAAGACUGGUUAGCUAGAGUCUUGUAGAGGGGGUAGAAUUCCAUGUGUAGCGGUGAAAUGCGUAGAGAUGUGGAGGAAUACCGGUGGCGAAGGCGGCCCCUGGACAAAGGCUGACGCUCAUGUGCGAAAGCGUGGGGAGCAAACAGGGAUUAGAUACC
rnacentral:rRNA from 1 species